CGGAUAUGGGGAGGAGGUCCAACAGGGGGCGCCGCGUUGGAACGCCCAAAGGGGUUGGGGGUUCGGGUGCGGUGGGCGAGCAAGCGAGUGUAUGGCGGCCAGGCCCAGAAGGCCACGAGGACCGCUGGCGCCGAGGCGUCAGUCUUUCAGACUCCAAAAGUAGCAAAGGCCGAGCGAGGAGGUUAGGGGCUCCCAAAGGCCAGCCCUUGGGGCUGUUGAUGGCCAGGCUAACCCGACAGGAGGCGCCGCUGCCACCGAGUGACUGGCUACCAGAUUCUGAAACCCUAAGUGCCUUGGAUGAGUGGGGCUUAAGAGACCACAGAACUGGGUCAAGGAUUAAGCUCAGUGGCACCACACCUGCCUUGCAAGCUCAAGGUCCUGGGUUUGAUCCCUGGUACCAAAAAAAAAAAAAAAAAAUUAGAGGCCACAGAACUACAGCCAGACAUUUGAGGAAGCAGCAAAUACAAAAGACAGCUGAGUGGCCUGGCCAAAGACAGCUGAGAGAUUUGGUGUGGUGAGAGCCGAGGAUGAGCACCACGUGGAUGGACUGGAGGAUCAUCUUGGUCAGCCAGAUCAUCAGGAAGAUGGACAACCUCCGCCUCCACCCAGACAACGCUGGCCCCUGCACCUCUUCUCGUUCCAGUGGGCAUUUCCUUCAAGCGAUUGCCAUAGCUUGCUUUCAUAGCGUGACAUUACCUCCCCGUCUUCUCGGCUCCCCGCUGCAUUUCAGCCCCCACAGGACAGCUGUGCCUUUCUCACCCGCUCAACAGAGUAGACAUUCAGGUAAUUGCUGGAUGAAUGGACAGACAGCAGAAGGAUUCACAGACACAGACAAGGCAGGCCUACAGCUCUCGCUGCUCCCAGCCCGACUGCAGACCUGGUCUCCCUUUCUCAGCCAUACCGCCUGUCCCACAGCAGAGCUCCAGCUAAGUGCCAGCCAUGCGUGGGUCUGGGAGAUGUCAGCCCAUGAAGAGGCAAGACUCCCUUCCCAUUGGAGUUUACUUCUAGUGUUGAAGAUUGGAAUCAAGACACGUUGCAAGAAGACACUCUGGAAGCCCAGAGCACUUCCUGUGAGAUGCCUGGGGCACCGGUGCCCUUGUCCUCCUGCUACAAGGGGUCACCUCAGCCAGCCUUUCACUUUCCUCCACCCAUCAGUGCCACUCCAGCCUGCCUCUCCAGAAGCUUUGGUGCAGGGAUCACGAGGCUAAGGGGCGAACUUGUGAGUUAACCACAGAGACGGCUGCCUCGUUCCCAUGGAGAAACCAGGUCCCAGCCCUAGGCCUUCCAUGACAACCGUGGACUCAUCCCUCCCUUGUGGAGAGCUCACAUUUCCUGUAAACACACCUGACAGGGGCAACUGGUCUCUAGCAACAAAGAGGUGGGCAGUGCUGGGGAGAUUUUUUUGGAAAGACCAGAGGUCAGUAAAUGGGUUUGUGGGCCAAAUCUGGCCUGCCAGCUAAGAAUGGU
rnacentral:lncRNA from 1 species